rnacentral:lncRNA from 13 species
UAUUGAGAAAAGUGGAUGUAGCCCUAAAUCAGAGUAUGUGUACGUGGGAGUCAGUGCAAGUCAUCUCUGCAGAUAUACUUAACCGAAAUGAGAAAUUAGGGAGCUAGGAGAGUGUAGAGUCUGAGGUGUAACCUUCAGCUGAGAGACUGGGUGCCUGCCAGCAAGCUCAGUCAUUAAGGGACUGAAUUCAGAGUGGAAAGUCCAGCCACGGUGCUGCGGACUGCAAGCUCAGAGCAGAGUAGCCCCUUUCAUUGAGGUUGCUAGACCAAGUUCAGUGUAAGUUCUAAUGUCUUCUCUUUUCUCCCGGAACAAUGCAGAAAGUCCGUUUGUUUCUUGCGUUACUCUAAGGCUUGGUGUUUCUUAUAUUCAUUUCUAUCUUCCUUUAGUCAAGCCAAAUGUUUAAUAUGCUUGACCAAAGAUGAUGGAAAAAUCAGGAUAUUAGCCAAAGUUGAGUAAUUUCUAACAUGAGUCAAAAUAUAAAAAUUAUUAGACUGACCAUGAACAUAAAAACAGUAACAUUACCAGCAUCGGUUCAAACACAGCAUCGCAAAAUUGAUGUAUAUUUGUAAAUUUUAACAGCUGCAACUGAACUACAUUUUAGGUGUAUGGAUAAAGCAGCCUGGGUAAAAAAAGAAAUUAUGAGUCACCAGUAUGUCUGUAUCAGGCUCCGAGUAGUACGUCAAUCACUAAAAUUGAUCUUGAAUGUACUGAUGUCAGAGUCAUCCCAAGAUGCUUCUGAUAUGUGUCUUGUGCUAAAGAGUAAGAGGACUUUGGCGACAUCCUAACCAAGGUUAUGAGAAGCCCUCUUCUAUUUGCCAUGGUGAUGGUUCUAAGCGAAGUCCAUUUGGUUCAUAAAAAGCAGUUGAUCUGCAGUUGGGUCAGAGAAGGGCUAGUGAAACAGAUGAAGAAGAAUGGUGAGGAGAUUGUUUUGGGCAAUUCUGCUGAGCAGCUCCUUGAAUUUGACCUGUGUUCCACCCUUCUGAAAUUUCUUCCAAGGAAAGAUACUGGCGGAAUGUUGGCAGUUACUGAACCCUGGUGGCAGGAAAUCACUUUCACUGCAGUCUGGAAAAUGGAUUAAAGAGGGGCAGGAGAGGAUACAACCCCUGGGGAGGGGUGGUGAUGUGUCAGCUAUGAGCCAGCCUCUUGGCCAUGCACUGGGAAUGUGCCAGGAGGUGAGUGGAAUGUUCUCUUGUCCUCUUCAAGAUCAUGAGCUGUGGAGAGCAGGAUUAGUAAAUAGAUGAUGACACAAUGUGAUGAGCUUCAUAUUGAAAGUGAGUAAAACACAUUAUGUGAGCACAGUAGAGAAGGCAAUUAAUUUUGAUUUGGAGGAUCAGGGGAAGCUGCACAAGGGGGUACCAUCUGACCUAGGGCUUGAGGAAUGAGUAACAACCAAAGAAGAGAUUCAAAAUUAUUCUGGCGAAAGGAAUAGCAAGAGCAAAUUUCAAAGUAAGUUUGAAAUGCCCUGAGCUUCAGGGAAUGGUCAGUCAUCUGAUGUGGCUGCCUCACUGCCAGUCCACCCUCCCUCCAGCCCAGAUCACAUGCUUCCAGAUUAUGGCCUCUAGUACCUUGACUUGAAUAAUUCUUUUAUCAUAUUACGGCCAAGAAUUCCUCAAACUCUCCAACCUUCCACCGCAUCUCACUCCCUUUGUAACCUGAGUUGCUUAAAGUAAAUCCCAUGAGUCAUCAUUAACAUCAUUUUCUGGUAAAGACCCUCAAUGUCCUCACCCUUCUCUAACUUUAUCUCAAAGACUCAAUAACCCGCAACUCUGAUUUGCUGGAACUCUGUCUACUCCGCUGUAUGCUUGAGCAGCUGCUUUUGGCUGGACAAGGGGACAUAUCCAUGUGCUCUGGUCUUAUUUGGGACCACUAGAUGCAAGAGAGCUCUCAGGGGAGCCAGGCCAUCCUACACUUUCCUAGUCCAUUCACUCCCCUGUGCUUCUAAAGCAUUCGACACCUUCUACUCUCUCCUCAAAACACCAAGAUCCGCAUCCUCACUCUUGGAUGAAAAUUUAGCCUCUGAUGUCAAUGAGAAAAUAGAAGCAGCCCCAAGAGACUCUGCACUCUCUCAUACUGCAUCU